rnacentral:rRNA from 1 species
AUUGAACGCUGGCGGCAGGCCUAACACAUGCAAGUCGAACGGUAACAGGGAUCAGCUUGCUGAUUCGCUGACGAGUGGCGGACGGGUGAGUAAUGUCUGGGAAACUGCCUGAUGGAGGGGGAUAACUACUGGAAACGGUAGCUAAUACCGCAUAACGUCGCAAGCCCAAAGAGGGGGACCUUCGGGCCUCUUGCCAUCGGAUGUGCCCAGAUGGGAUUAGCUAGUAGGUGGGGUAACGGCUCACCUAGGCGACGAUCCCUAGCUGGUCUGAGAGGAUGACCAGCCACACUGGAACUGAGACACGGUCCAGACUCCUACGGGAGGCAGCAGUGGGGAAUAUUGCACAAUGGGCGCAAGCCUGAUGCAGCCAUGCCGCGUGUAUGAAGAAGGCCUUCGGGUUGUAAAGUACUUUCAGCGGGGAGGAAGGGAGUAAAGUUAAUACCUUGGCUCAUUGACGUUACCCGCAGAAGAAGCACCGGCUAACUCCGUG